ACGUACACUCCUACGGGAGGCAGCAGUGGGGAAUAUUGCACAAUGGGCGCAAGCCUGAUGCAGCCAUGCCGCGUGUGUGAAGAAGGCCUUCGGGUUGUAAAGCACUUUCAGCGGGGAGGAAGGCGAUACGGUUAAUAACCGUGUUGAUUGACGUUACCCGCAGAAGAAGCACCGGCUAACUCCGUGCCAGCAGCCGCGGUAAUACGGAGGGUGCAAGCGUUAAUCGGAAUUACUGGGCGUAAAGCGCACGCAGGCGGUCUGUCAAGUCGGAUGUGAAAUCCCCGGGCUCAACCUGGGAACUGCAUUCGAAACUGGCAGGCUUGAGUCUUGUAGAGGGGGGUAGAAUUCCAGGUGUAGCGGUGAAAUGCGUAGAGAUCUGGAGGAAUACCGGUGGCGAAGGCGGCCCCCUGGACAAAGACUGACGCUCAGGUGCGAAAGCGUGGGGAGCAAACAGGAUUAGAUACCCCGGUAGUCCCAUG
rnacentral:rRNA from 1 species